rnacentral:misc_RNA from 1 species
GGUUUGCGUGAGGGUAGAAGUGGAGCUCUUUUUUAGAGACUUUUUUGUCUCUAAAAAAAGCGGGAACGGAUGCCCGACCCGAC